rnacentral:rRNA from 1 species
UGGGGAAUAUUGGACAAUGGGCGCAAGCCUGAUCCAGCCAUGCCGCGUGUGUGAAGAAGGCCUUUUGGUUGUAAAGCACUUUAAGCGAGGAGGAGGCUACUUGGAUUAAUACUCUAGGAUAGUGGACGUUACUCGCAGAAUAAGCACCGGCUAACUCUGUGCCAGCAGCCGCGGUAAUACAGAGGGUGCGAGCGUUAAUCGGAUUUACUGGGCGUAAAGCGUGCGUAGGCGGCUUCUUAAGUCGGAUGUGAAAUCCCUGAGCUUAACUUAGGAAUUGCAUUCGAUACUGGGAAGCUAGAGUAUGGGAGAGGAUGGUAGAAUUCCAGGUGUAGCGGUGAAAUGCGUAGAGAUCUGGAAGAAUACCGAUGGCGAAGGCAGCCAUCUGGCCUAAUACUGACGCUGAGGUACGAAAGCAUGGGGAGCAAACAGG